CCUUUUCCUUGGGGAAAAUGCCCCUUUUCAUGGGAAAAUGCCCCUUUUCCCUGGCAGGAGCGUUGGAUGAUGCUUUCCACAUCUGCUCUGUGGUCAGCUGCCCCAAGCUGGAUGAAGGAUGGGAGCUCUGUGUGCAGCUUUGUCACAGAGCUAGCCCAGAGCCAGCUUUUGGGCCAGGGCUGUUUUGCCAGGCUGUGGGGCCGGGGCUUCCCAGCUGUGCCAGGCCGGGCUGAGGAUGGGAAUGCUCCAAGUUGCAACGUCUGAGGUGGGAGAAUUUGGCAUUUUAGAGCUUUUUGGGGCUGGCUGAGAGGCAGCAGCUGGUGUUGGAUAGUUGGGAAUAGCUCCCAGUUUAUCCAGUUAAAAAUCCCAAGGGGCUGGAGCAGAAGGUGGGAGCUGCUGGGGCUUUUCCUGCUCGGGCACUGGGGUAAAGCUGGAGCAUUCUGUGCUGAGGGGUUUUGGUGUCUUUUGCAAAACUUGGGGAAGGAGCUCCAUGAUGACCUCCCCUGCUUGGCUGGGACUUCUCUGGGUGCUCCUAAACCCAAAUCCAAAACUCCCCUGGAUCCUCCUAAACCCAAAUCCCAGAACUCCUCAGGAUGCUCCUAAACCCAGCUGUCUCCAAAUCCCAAACUCCUCUGGAUGCUCCUAAACCAAACUGUUUCCAAAUCCCAAAACUCCUCUAGAUAAUCCUAAACCUGGCUGUCUCCAAAUCCCAGAACUCUGCAAGCUCCUAAACCCAGCAUCUCCAAAUCCAGAUCUCCUUUGGAUGCUCCUAAGCCCAUCUGUCUCCCAAAACUCCCCAGGAUGCUCCUAAACCCAGCUGUCUCCAAACCCCAAAAGUUCCAGGAGGAUUUGGCAGGGUGGGAGGUGCUGGAUUUGCAGGACAGCAGGGUUGGGAAGCCUUUGCUGUGUUCCUCAGCUCCAGACCUGCUCCCUCAGGUUUUUUGUGCUCCAGGGUUCCUUGGGCAGGUGAGGAUGGGGUGUGGAUUUUGUGUUCCAGUGUUCUUUGGGCAUGUGAGGAUGAGGUUUUUUGUGCUCCAGGGCUCCUUGCCCAGGUGAGGAUGAGGUUUUUUGCACUCCAGGGUUUUUGGGGCAGGUGAGGAUGAGGUUUUUUGCACUCCAGGGUUUUUGGGGCAGGUGAGGAUGAGGUUUUUUGUGCUCCAGGGCUCCUUGGGCAGGUGAGGAUGAGGUUUUUUGUGCUCCAGGGUUCCUUGGGCAGGUGAGGAUGGGGGGUGGAUUUUGUGUUCAAGGGUUCUUUGGGCAGGUGAGGAUGAGGUUUUUUGUGCUCCAGGGUUUUUGGGGCAGGUGAGGAUGAGGUUUUUUGUGCUCCAGGUUUCCUUGCCCAGGUGUUUUGCCUCUCCGCGGGAGGCCGGGCUCGUAAAGCGGCGCUCCGAGAGGAUUAAGGGGUAAUCAGGGUUAUAAACAACUGCCGGGCUCUUUAACACCUCCCCGAUGUGCUCCCUGCCCUUCCCGGCGCAUUCCUGGCCCUGGGAUGCGCCCUGGGAUGGAGCUGCUGGCCGG